UACGUAGGGGGCUAGCGUUGUCCGGAAUCAUUGGGCGUAAAGAGCGUGUAGGCGGCCCGAUAAGUCCGCUGUGAAAGUCCAGGGCUCAACCCUGGAAUGCCAGUGGAAACUGUCGGGCUGGAGUCCGGAAGAGGCGAGUGGAAUUCCUGGUGUAGCGGUGAAAUGCGCAGAUAUCAGGAGGAACACCAAUGGCGAAGGCAGCUCGCUGGGACGGUACUGACGCUGAGAAGCGAAAGCAUGGGGGGCGAACAGG
rnacentral:rRNA from 1 species